UUGAACGCUGGCGGCAGGCCUAACACAUGCAAGUCGAGCAGAUGAAGGGAGCUUGCUCCUGGAUUCAGCGGCGGACGGGUGAGUAAUGCCUAGGAAUCUGCCUGGUAGUGGGGGAUAACGUCCGGAAACGGGCGCUAAUACCGCAUACGUCCUGAGGGAGAAAGUGGGGGAUCUUCGGACCUCACGCUAUCAGAUGAGCCUAGGUCGGAUUAGCUAGUUGGUGGGGUAAAGGCCUACCAAGGCGACGAUCCGUAACUGGUCUGAGAGGAUGAUCAGUCACACUGGAACUGAGACACGGUCCAGACUCCUACGGGAGGCAGCAGUGGGGAAUAUUGGACAAUGGGCGAAAGCCUGAUCCAGCCAUGCCGCGUGUGUGAAGAAGGUCUUCGGAUUGUAAAGCACUUUAAGUUGGGAGGAAGGGCAGUAAGUUAAUACCUUGCUGUUUUGACGUUACCAACAGAAUAAGCACCGGCUAACUUCGUG
rnacentral:rRNA from 1 species